rnacentral:rRNA from 1 species
GAUGAACGCUGGCGGCGUGCCUAAUACAUGCAAGUCGAGCGAACAGACGAGGAGCUUGCUCCUCUGACGUUAGCGGCGGACGGGUGAGUAACACGUGGAUAACCUACCUAUAAGACUGGGAUAACUUCGGGAAACCGGAGCUAAUACCGGAUAAUAUAUUGAACCGCAUGGUUCAAUAGUGAAAGACGGUUUUGCUGUCACUUAUAGAUGGAUCCGCGCCGCAUUAGCUAGUUGGUAAGGUAACGGCUUACCAAGGCAACGAUGCGUAGCCGACCUGAGAGGGUGAUCGGCCACACUGGAACUGAGACACGGUCCAGACUCCUACGGGAGGCAGCAGUAGGGAAUCUUCCGCAAGGGGCGAAAGCUUGACGGGGCAACGCCGCGUGAGUGAUGAAGGUCUUCGGAUCGUAAAACUCUGUUAUUAGGGAAGAACAAAUGUGUAAGUAACUAUGCACGUCUUGACGGUACCGAAGCAGAAAGCCACGGCUAACUACGG